rnacentral:tRNA from 1 species
GUAGCUCUAACGGCAGAGCGCCGGACUCCAAAUCCGAGGGUUGGGGGUUCAAAUCCCUCCUGG